rnacentral:rRNA from 1 species
GACGAACGCUGGCGGCGUGCUUAACACAUGCAAGUCGAACGAUGAAACCUAGCUUGCUAGGUCGAUUAGUGGCGAACGGGUGAGUAACACGUGACUAACCUGCCCCUUUCUCUGGGAUAACGCUCCGAAAGGAGUGCUAAUACCGGAUACUCACAUCGAGGCACAUGCCUUGGUGUGGAAGGUUUUUCGGAAAGGGAUGGAGUCGCGGCCUAUCAGCUUGUUGGUGAGGUAACGGCUCACCAAGGCGACGACGGGUAGCCGGCCUGAGAGGGCGACCGGCCACACUGGGACUGAGACACGGCCCAGACUCCUACGGGAGGCAGCAGUGGGGAAUAUUGCACAAUGGGCGCAAGCCUGAUGCAGCGACGCCGCGUGAGGGAUGAAGGUCUUCGGAUUGUAAACCUCUUUCAGUAGGGACGAAGCGAAAGUGACGGUACCUAAAGAAGAAGCACCGGCUAACUACGUGCCAGCCGCCGCAGUAA